rnacentral:rRNA from 1 species
GAUGAACGCUGGCGGCGUGCCUAAUACAUGCAAGUCGAGCGAACAGACGAGGAGCUUGCUCCUCUGACGUUAGCGGCGGACGGGUGAGUAACACGUGGAUAACCUACCUAUAAGACUGGGAUAACUUCGGGAAACCGGAGCUAAUACCGGAUAAUAUAUUGAACCGCAUGGUUCAAUAGUGAAAGACGGUUUUGCUGUCACUUAUAGAUGGAUCCGCGCCGCAUUAGCUAGUUGGUAAGGUAACGGCUUACCAAGGCAACGAUGCGUAGCCGACCUGAGAGGGUGAUCGGCCACACUGGAACUGAGACACGGUCCAGACUCCUACGGGAGGCAGCAGUAGGGAAUCUUCCGCAAUGGGCGAAAGCUUAACGGAACAACGCCGCGUGAGUGAUGAAGGUCUUCGGAUCGUAAAACUCUGUUAUUAGGGAAGAACAAAUGUGUAAGUAACUAUGCACGUCUUGACGGUACCUAAUCAGAAAGCCACGGCUAACUACGUG